rnacentral:rRNA from 1 species
GACCCCCCUUGUGCCGGAGCUAACGCGUUAAGCGCACCGCCUGGGAAGUACGGUCGCAAGACUAAAACUCAAAGAAAUUGACGGGGACCCGCACAAGCGGUGGAGUAUGUGGCUUAAUUCGAUGCAACGCGAAGAACCUUACCUGGGCUUGACAUGCAUCUCUAAGCGCGUGAAAGCGCGUGACCCUUCGGGGGAUUUGCACAGGUGCUGCAUGGCCGUCGUCAGCUCGUGUCGUGAGAUGUUGGGUUAAGUCCCGCAACGAGCGCAACCCUUGUGAACAGUUGCCAGCGCGUGAAGGCGGGAACUCUGUUCAGACUGCCCAGAUCAACUGGGAGGAAGGUGGGGACGACGUCAGGUCAGUAUGGCCCUUACGCCCAGGGCUGCACACGUACUACAAUGCCCAGUACAAUGAGAACCGAGACCGCGAGGUGGAGGAAAUCUGGAAAACUGGGCCCAGUUCGGAUUGGAGGCUGCAACUCGCCUCCAUGAAGUUGGAAUCGCUAGUAAUGGCGCAUCAUCUACGGCGCCGUGAAUACGUUCCCGGGUCUUGUACACACCGCCCGUCACAUCAUGGAAGCCGGUCGCACCCGAAGUGCCUGCGCCAACCGCAAGGAGGCAGGGCCCUAAGGUGUAGCUGGUAACUGGGAUGAAGUCGUAACAAGGUAGCCG